AAAGGACAGCCAGGCCUCUGCUUAACACUACUGUCGGGACCUCGGUUCUAACUGCAAAUCACAAUGCCUUGAAGGAUGUGAAGAGAAGGAGCUACAGACAUGACACUUGGCCCAGUAACUGGAAAUGAUGUGCAAAUGCUUCACAAGAGACAUGACUGUAAUCGGCCAGACGGUGGCGCUAUAAUUCACAUUCCAGAAAAAAAAUUGAAAGGCCGUGACACCCACACACCUCAGGCCUUCACCUGAAUCUGAAGAAGUGUGAAUAACUUCCAG